rnacentral:rRNA from 1 species
CAUGCAAGUCGAACGGCAGCGGGAAAGUAGCUUGCUACUUUUGCCGGCGAGUGGCGAACGGGUGAGUAAUGUAUCGGAACGUGCCCAGUAGCGGGGGAUAACUACGCGAAAGCGUGGCUAAUACCGCAUACGCCCUACGGGGGAAAGGGGGGGAUCUUAGGACCUCUCACUAUUGGAGCGGCCGAUAUCGGAUUAGCUAGUUGGUGGGGUAAAGGCCUACCAAGGCGACGAUCCGUAGCUGGUUUGAGAGGACGACCAGCCACACUGGGACUGAGACACGGCCCAGACUCCUACGGGAGGCAGCAGUGGGGAAUUUUGGACAAUGGGGGAAACCCUGAUCCAGCCAUCCCGCGUGUGCGAUGAAGGCCUUCGGGUUGUAAAGCACUUUUGUCAGGGAAGAAAAGGUUUCGGAUAAUACCCGGAACUGAUGACGGUACCUGAAGAAUAAGCACCGGCUAACUACGUGCCAGCAGCCGCGGUAAUACGUAGGGUGCAAGCGUUAAUCGGAAUUACUGGGCGUAAAGCGUGCGCAGGCGGUUCGGAAAGAAAGAUGUGAAAUCCCAGGGCUCAACCUUGGAACUGCAUUUUUAACUACCGAACUAGAGUAUGUCAGAGGGGGGUGGAAUUCCACGUGUAGCAGUGAAAUGCGUAGAUAUGUGGAGGAACACCGAUGGCGAAGGCAGCCCCCUGGGAUAAUACUGACGCUCAUGCACGAAAGCGUGGGGAGCAAACAGGAUUAGAUACCCUGGUAGUCCACGCCCUAAACGAUGUCAACUAGCUGUUGGGCCCUUCGGGGCUUAGUAGCGCAGCUAACGCGUGAAGUUGACCGCCUGGGGAGUACGGUCGCAAGAUUAAAACUCAAAGGAAUUGACGGGGACCCGCACAAGCGGUGGAUGAUGUGGAUUAAUUCGAUGCAACGCGAAAAACCUUACCUAC